UAUGUAGCUGUCGCAGUUAAAUGUGGUUAUUCAUUGUCAUUUGUUUGAUUUAACUGUGGAAAUAUUUAAUUUAAUUUCUUUGUUGAUUUGACGCCACCUGCUGGCUGGAUUGAAAUUUGACACUGGAAGGUGCGCGCGAGCGGAGCGAAUGAUUAACUGACACAAGCACGGAGAAGCGACCAGAAGAAGCUCACAUCGGAUAAAGAAAAGUGGACAUGGACUGAAAUUGCUUGUGAAUAUUAAGUGGAGAGGCGCACACGGUGUGUUUGUAUAUUUAUCUGUAUUGCAUUAAUAUCUGAGUUAUAAGUUUAUGUUUCUAAAAUUAAUAUUUGUGUUUAUUGUUGUUCAUUUCACCGUAGUUUUUCACGGUGUUUGCUGGUAACAAGAAGAUAAAGAACCAGUUGAACAUCAGUUGGAGCAUGGCGUUUUAUUCCACAAAAAACAAAAUAUCCUUCAUGAGCAGUUACAGUGAAAAACGUGUCCUGUUAAGAAGUACGCAGCCAGAGCCCUGCAUGCCAUGCUUUGAAGACGGCAGUCCACAGUCUGCGGCCCAAUCCGCAUGAAAUAAAGAGGGCCGAUACGACGUUUUGGGAAUUGAGCAGUUUUGCAGAGCCUUUCAACAUCAUACGAAACCAGGUCAGACUGUAUCUAUGAGUUAAAAAAAAACGGACAUUAACGGUGUAUGCUACAGACAUUGAAUGCUGUUUAAAAAACGGACAUUAACGGUGUAUGCUACAGAUAUUGAAAGUUGUUUAAAAACGGACAUUAACGGUGUAUGCUACAGAUAUUAUUGAAAGUUUGUUAAAAAGAAAAAAGGUUUGUUACUAUUUUACAGUUUGAAAUUUGAAGUAGUGUUCUCAUGUUAAGUUUUCUUUCAUUGUUCUUAGCUGUUGGUUUAAAAUAUUGUUCACAAUGGAGCAGGGUGUACAAGAAACUCGUGUUUUAGAGGAAGUACUUGUAGCUUUAGAAUUUGAAAAGUUACAUUUAGAAAAGAAAUUAGAAACUGAAGUUGAAGAUGCAGAAAGAGAGGAAGUUGAAAUACGCUUAGGUGAAAUUUAUGCAGACCUUGAAAUACAUAAAAUAGGUUUGACUCAGCCAUCAUCCCAACCUGAGACAGAAGUGAGACGCUCAGAGCGUCAAAGAAAACUAACAGAAAAAAUGCGUGACUUUAAACAGUCUGAGAUAACAAGUAAAGAAAGAAAGUUUAUGUCAACAUAUGUAAACUUUAAAGCAGAGAUUCAACUCUCUAGGUCCAAACUUAAAAAGGAAUGUUCAAAAGCAGAGUUAACUGAAAUGAUCAAAUCAGUAGGAAAAUGUGAAUCUGACCUACAGCAAGAUUAUGUAGCUUUACGUACACUGACUACUCCAUCUCAAGAUUUCAGAAGAAAGAUGGAUAGCUGUUCUUCAGUUUCCACUGAAAUGAUGUUGCUUCUGAAAAGGCGCUAUGCAGAUGUUGAUAAGGAGUUUGAUGCAAUUGCUGUAAAAGACUCACUCCUUCAGUUGCUUCAGAGAGAAGAUGCUAAGUCAAUGUAUGGCUCAACUGUGUCUAGGGCUGAAAAAAGUAGCCAGAACAGUUAUAGUAAGCAAGGAAGUCAGGUAUCUGCAAAGAAAGCAGAGGCAGCUGCACGGUUGGCAUCUAAACGAGCUGAAAUAAGCAGGGAAAAGGAAAUUUCUGCCCAAAGAAAGGAGAUAUUAGCUCAACAAGAGAGAUUAAAAUUGUUGGAAAAGCAAAGAGAUCUUGAGGUUAUUGAGGCUGAAUACAAUGUGUAUGCUGAAGAGGAAUCAAAAUUGAAUGCUGAAAUAAGAAACAGUGAAGUAAAAGGUACUUUGUCUUUUAGUCAGCUUCCCAAACCUCUUAACAGUCCUCCAUACACCCAAGCUAUCCAGAGUACGGCACCUCCUAACUUUGAAGGUAUAACCAACAAGAUCCCAAAAUAUCUUCCAGUGCCCAAGUGUGAUACUAGAGUAGCGUCAAAAGAAAGUGAGUUAUCUCUAGUUCAAGCUUUAAAGGAGUCUUUAGCAAUGACUAGACUUCCAAUACCAGAGCCAUUUACCUUUACAGGAGACCCACUGAAGUUUACUGAGUGGAGCACUUGCUUCAAGGCUCUUAUUGAGACUAGUUGCACAAAUUCAGCCCAUAAACUUUUCUACUUGAAGAAAUACAUUAAUGGAGAAGCUCUUGGUGUUUUAGAAGGGACAUUCUAUCGCAGUGAUGAGGAAGCUUACAACCAAGCUUGGGAUGCUCUGAACAACCGUUAUGGCCACCCAUUUGUAGUUCAAAGAGCUUUUCGGGGAAAGCUAAGCAGUUGGCCAAAGAUCGGACCAAAAGAGUCACUAAAGCUGAGAGAGUUUAGUGAUUUCCUUGUUUCCUGUAAGAAUGCUAUGCCCCAUGUUCAGGGCCUCAAAGUGUUGGAUGAUUGUGAGGAGAAUCAAAAAUUAUUACUGAAACUUCCUGAUUGGGCAACAACCCGCUGGAACCGUCAUGUGUCAAAACUGUUAGAUGAAGGAAAGGAAUAUCCAGGUUUCACAGAGUUUGCUGACUUUGUGGCAGAAGAAGCACGAAUAGCAUGCAAUCCAGUUUCUUCUUUGUUUGCCUUAAAGAACACAUUUGAAAAACCUGAAAAGGAACAAAAACGUCAGAAAGCCAGUGUCCUGAUGACAACAACGAAUGUGUCUACAAAUGAAAAGGCCACAGCUGCAACACAGAUCAACAAAAAAUCCAAACCCAACCUUUCCUCAACUCAGAAUAAAAGGCAAAUUGAAUGCAUCUGCUGCAGGCAAAAUCACUUUAUUUACAAAUGUGACAAGUUUACAGCAAUGUCUCUUGAAGAAAAGAAGCAGUUCAUUAUCGACAACAAUAUGUGCUUUGGUUGUCUUCGUGUUGGUCACAUAUCCAAGAACUGUCAACAAAGAGUAACAUGUAAUGUUUGUAAGCGGAAGCACCCUUCUCCUCUUCAUGAAGAUCAUCCACAACCAGAUAAGCCUGAGAUGUUACCGAAAGAGGAAAAUGCAGCCACUGUAUCAUGCAGUGUGAAAUUGGACAACAGUGAUUGCACUUCAAUGAUUGUCCCAGUUUGGCUUUCUUCUUCAACAAAUAGACCAGAGACAUUGGUUUAUGCUUUGCUAGACACCCAAAGCAGCAAUACAUUUAUUGAUCAAAAUGUUUGUGAAAAAUUACAAGCAAGAACAGGACCCGUUAAAUUAAAGCUGACAACCAUAACUGACAGGUGUUCUAUUGUGCCUAGUCAAAGAGUGGAAGGACUGAGAGUUAGAGGGUACCACUCACAAGAGUAUAUUGAAUUGCCACCUACAUAUACUCGAGAAUACAUUCCACUUGAGAAAAACAGUAUUCCAACUCGAGAGACUGCAAAAAAAUGGCCCCACCUACUCAGCAUUGCAAAUGAAAUGCCAGAUCUCUUGGACUGUCCUGUAGCUCUCCUCAUUGGUUAUGACUGUACAAGAGCUCUAAAACCAAGGAAGGUCAUACCAGGAGAGGAUUAUGAUCCCUAUGCAGUUAAAACAGACUUGGGAUGGAGCAUUGUGGGACCCAUUAAGCCAUGGACAGGUUCAGUGGGCGCAACUGGGACCUGCCAUCGUGUAAUAGUAAAGGAAUUGCCAUCUAUUACACCUGCAUCUGUGAUUAAAGCACUUGAAGCUGAUUUUCUGGACACUAACCCCAAAGAAGGGAACAUAUCUCAAGAGGACAUUCAGUUUUUAGAGAUGCUAAAUGAAAACAUUCACUACAAUGAGCAAGGUCAUUUAGAAAUGCCUUUACCUUUUAAAGAACGUCCACAGCUUCCAAAUAACAAGCAGCUUGCAACAGUUCGUCUGAAAUAUUUGAAAAUGAAAAUGGACAAGAACCCCAAGUACAAAGAAGAUUACAUAAAGUUCAUGAAUAAUGUGUUUAAAGAUGGUGAUGCAGAGGAAGCAGAAGAAACACCACAGGAUGGUAACACAUGGUACAUUCCACCCCACGGUGUGUAUCACCCCAGAAAGCCAGAAAAAAUUAGAGUUGUUUUUGACUGCUCUGCUAAACAUGAAGACACCUCUUUAAAUGACCACUUACUUACAGGCCCAGACUUGAUCAAUACUCUGGCAGGAGUAUUGUGCAGAUUCCGAGAGAACAGAAUCGCAAUAAUGUGCGAUGUGGAGAAAAUGUUUCACCGCUUCCAUGUUAAUCCAGAGGAUCGAGAUUUCUUAAGGUUUUUGUGGUGGAAGGAUGGAAAUACAAAUACUGAGCCAAAGGAAUAUCGCAUGCGAGUGCAUGUAUUUGGUACAGCGUCAUCGCCUGGAUGUGCUAACUUUGGCAUGAAACAUCUCGCCAGAAGAAACGAAAAGGACUACCCACUGGCAGCCAGUUUCAUUCACAAAAACUUUUAUGUGGAUGAUGGGCUUCUCAGUGUUGAAACAGAUAAGAAAGCCAAGCAGCUAGUCUGUGAAGCACUCAAACUCUGUGUUAAAGGGAAGUUGCGUUUGCACAAAUUUGUGUGCAACAACAAAGAGGUCAUGAGUGUUAUUCCUGAAAGUGAACGAGCUGGCAACACUACGGAUGUAAACAUGAACUACUCUGAAGUUCCAAUGAAAAGUGUGCUGGGAGUAAAAUGGAAUGUGGAAGCCGAUGUGUUCACAUUCAGUGGAGCCCUCAAAGAAAGGCCAGCCACACGCCGAGGAAUUCUAGCAACAGUAGCAAGUGUGUAUGACCCGUUAGGAUUUCUUUCACCCUACACUUUGAUAGGAAAACAAGUACUCCAGGAAAUGUGCAAAAGUGGAGUUGGAUGGGAUGAACCUGUUCCUUCCGCACUGGAAACCAAGUGGAAAGCUUGGCUCUGUGACUUGGAAAAUCUUCGAAAGGUCGAAAUACCUAGAUGCCUCUUUCCUGAGAACCUAGGCAAAAUCAAAAGGGUUGAGCUGCAUCAUUUUUCUGAUGCUAGCAGCAGUGGCUAUGGACAAUGCUCAUACAUUAGGUUUGUUACAGAUGAACAAGUGCAUUGUGCUCUAGUUAUGGGUAAAGCCAGAGUGGCACCUAUAAAAAUAGUCACAAUCCCGCGCCUCGAGCUCACUGCAGCUGCAGUUUCUGCUUUUGUUAGUAACUUUCUUAGAGCAGAGCUUGAGCGGAAAAUCGACGAGGAGUUUUUCUGGACAGAUUCUCAAGUGACUCUUGGGUACAUAAAAAACGAUGCUCGUCGCUUUCAUGUGUUUGUUGCAAAUCGAGUUCAAAAAAUAAGAGACACUACAGACCCAAACCAAUGGUUUUACAUUAAAGCUGAUCAAAAUCCAGCUGACCACGCAUCUAGAGGCCUCAAGGUGGCAGAGCUAAUAAACUCAAACUGGCUCACUGGACCUAAAUUCCCUUGGGAAAGAGAAAUUAUCACGAACCAACAAUCUCCAGAACUUCUUGUUGGUGACCCAGAGGUAAAAGUUCUUAAAACAGAUGCUAUUGAGCAAGACAGGUUUCUUGAGAGGUUCAUGAAAUGCUCUGAUUGGAUCACAGCACUUAAUGUGGUAGCAAGGAUUAAAAGUCUUGCAAAAAGAGACAAAUCAGGAGCCAUCAGUGUGAAAGAAAGACAAAUGGCUGCUUCUGUACUCUUCCAGCUAGCACAGAAGGAAGCUUUUGAAGAGGAACUCAGAUGGUUUAGUCAAAAAACAGCUAAACUACCAAAAGCCCAUAAGAUGUAUCAACUGGAUCCUAUCCUUGUAGACAACUUGCUUAGAGUAGGAGGACGGUUGAGAAAGUCCUCAGCAUCAUUUGAACUGAAACAUCCAGUAAUCCUUCCUAAAGAAGGCAUUGUCACUCAGCUUGUUCUUGACCACUACCACAAGAAAACACAGCACCAAGGCAGAGGCCAAACUCUGAACGAACUUAGAGCAAAUGGUUAUUGGAUCAUAGGUGCUAGUAAGGUAGUGUCCAAGCUCAUUAAAGAAUGCGUCAUUUGUAGAAAGGUGCGUGGACCAACUGAAGAACAACGCAUGGCUGAUUUACCAUGUGACAGAGUAAAUCCUUCACCACCUUUCACCUACACUGGACUUGAUGUGUUUGGCCCCUUCUAUACGAAACAGGGUCGAAAAGAGUGUAAGAGAUAUGGCUUGAUGUUUACUUGUUUAAGUUCUAGAGCUGUACACAUUGAGAUGUUGGAGGAUCUCUCCACUGACGCAUUUAUAAAUGCUUUAAGAUGCUUCAUAGCUAUCAGGGGCACAGUGAGACAAAUUCGUUCUGACCAAGGUACCAAUUUUGUAGGGGGAAAGAACGAGUUCAAAAAGUGUCUGUUGGAGUUAGACAACGAGAGGAUUUCUACUUAUCUUGCUAAAAACCAAUGUGAUUUUCUGAUGAAUGUUCCCGAAGCUAGUCACAGGGGAGGCGUUUGGGAGCGCCAGAUCCGAACAGUUAGGAACGUCAUGAGCUCUGUCCUAGCACAAGCCACAGGAAGAUUAGAUGACACCUCCUUGAGAACUUUUUUCUAUGAGGCCAUGUCAAUUUUGAACCAGCGUCCACUCACUACUAACACAAUGAAUGAUCCCAAGAGUGCUGAGCCUUUGACGCCUAACCAUUUGCUCACUAUGAAAGAAUCAGUACCACUUCCGCCUCCUGGUAGAUUUGUCAGUGAAGAUUUAUAUGCCAGAAAAAGGUGGCGGAGAGUGCAAUAUUUAACGGAACUGUUUUGGAGCAGGUGGCGCAAAGAAUACUUGACUACCAUUAGUUUGAGGCAACAAUGGCACAACCCCAAAAGAAAUGUUCAAGUUGGAGAUGUAGUGAUAUUAAAGGAAGACAACAUUCCAAGAAAUGAAUGGAAAUUGGCAAAGGUAGUUGAAGCCAGUGAAGACGAUGAUGGUUUAGUGAGAAAGGUUAAGAUCCAAGUAGGUCAAAGAGAUUUAGGGAACAAAGGCGAACGUCUGAGACAACUAUCUUUUCUGGAGAGACCUGUUCAAAAACUAGUGGUUUUGGUUAAAAGUGAGUCCUAAACUACAGUAAAGUACAAAAUUUGAUACAACAUUAAAAUGUGAUAUUUGAGUUUAUCAAGUUACUGAUUUCUGUGUGUUUCAUAACAAAGGUUUAUGGUUGAUAGUUAUUUUAUUGAAAAUUACAAGUUUUAAAGUUCUUUAAUGUGUAGUGAAUUUCAAUCAUUGUAAUUUUGGUGGCAGUGUAGCUGUCGCAGUUAAAUGUGGUUAUUCAUUGUCAUUUGUUUGAUUUAACUGUGGAAAUAUUUAAUUUAAUUUCUUUGUUGAUUUGACGCCACCUGCUGGCUGGAUUGAAAUUUGACACUGGAAGGUGCGCGCGAGCGGAGCGAAUGAUUAACUGACACAAGCACGGAGAAGCGACCAGAAGAAGCUCACAUCGGAUAAAGAAAAGUGGACAUGGACUGAAAUUGCUUGUGAAUAUUAAGUGGAGAGGCGCACACGUUUUUCACGGUGUUUGCUGGUAACAAGAAGAUAAAGAACCAGUUGAACAUCA